rnacentral:hammerhead_ribozyme from 1 species
GCACUGCUGAGGAGUCCUAUGCUAGGACGAAACAGCCGUCCAGUGC